UCUGAACUCCUUAUGGGUCUGCUUUUUCUAUUGUCUCUUUGGUCAUAUCUUAUCUUCCUUUAUGACUGAUUAUGUCUUGAUAGGUGUCAGAUAUUAUAUAUUUAAAUAGAUAAUUUGAGGCUUUGAAUGCUGUUAUAUUCUUCUAGAGAGGGUGCACUUUGGCAUCUGGCCAGCAUCUAGGCUAGAAACACUAGCAAUUUCAGGUCACAUUAAUUCAGCCAAGGAUAGAUAGAUUAUUUGAAGCUGGGCUUAAGGCCCUGUGAGGGCUAAUCUAUUGGUUCACACUUACUUUCAGGUACCUGAUAGCUUAGGGUAUUUACUGGGAUCCCUCCUACUCAGCAGUCUCUGAAACCCGCAGUUGCUUGAUUUGUGGAGAACUCUAUUCAGCUUUUCAGUCUCUCAGCUUCCACUUUCAACAUUUGCAUCUGCCUCUGGGGAAAAGUGGUCCCAAACUCCAGGAUCAUCUCUGGGCCUCCGUUCUGUCUCACACCUGUUUUCUUCACUGAUUGGGUAUCUCUCUGAUGCCUCUAAAUGGAUGUAGUUAUAUUUCACUAGGCUUUCUAGUUGUUCUGAGUUUGAGAACCAUUUCCAGAAGCAAAACUCUAAGAAGUGACAUUUGGAUGAGAUCUGAAUGAUGAAGAAAUAGAAUUAUCAAAAUCCGGGGAAGAAUGUCCAAAGCAGGGGAAACAACAAGAAAAAUGUUUUGGAUUCUAGGAAGGAGGUGCACAGGAUGUGGAGAGACCAAGUUCCUGAGAGUGGCUGGGGAGAUGUCUCUGAGGAGGGGACAUUCACGACGCCAUGAGGGAAGGAAGCGCUGGAGCCAGCCAUGCGCAGUCUGGACAAGACAGCAUCAGGAAUGACAGUUCUGGAGGUCAGCAGUUCAAAAUCAGCCUCACUGGUUGAAAUCUAGGUGUGGGCAGAGCUGCAGGAGAGAACCGCUGCCUUGCUUGUCUAGCUUCUGGAGCUGUCUUCCCUGGCUCGUCGUCCUUUCCUCCAUCUCUACAGCCAGCAACAUAGCAUCUUGCUUCAGUUGUUACAUCACGUUUUUCUUUGGAAGUCAAAUCCCCCUCAGCCUCCCUCUUAUAAGGACUCGUGGUUACAUUAAGGACUCACCCACAUAAACCAGGAUAAUCUCCCCAACACCAAUAUCCUCAACAUAGUCACAUCUGCAAAAUCUCUUUUGCCAUAUGAGGUAACAUAUUCAUAGGGUCAUGGGAUUAAGAUAUGGACACUGCUAAAGUUUAGGUAUUUGCCUUCUCUAAAUCUCAUGUUGAAAUUCAAUCCCUAGUGUUGGAUG